AACGCAACUUGCGCUCUCUGGUAUUCCGGGGAGCAUGCCUGUUUGAGUAUCGCAAAGCAACACAAAUCAUAUUCUUUUUUUGUUUGAAAAAAGAAUAUGGAGUUGAGCCUAUUUUUUUUUUUUCUUUUCUUUUCUCUCGAAAAGAAGAGGAGAGGGGAAUGGCUUGAAAUACAGAAGGACGGGAGUUUUUCUUCGUAUUUUAUAAUAUGAAGGGAAACUCCAUCAGGUCAAACAAUUUUAUACUUGAGCAAAAAUAAUUAGUUAAUGCUCUGAAUUUAUUUCAAAGCGUUAUUCUUUUUUUUGCUCGGUGGUCUGGCUUGGUAAUUUUAGUCGUCCUCACACUUUUUCCCGACAACAAAAGCCCGGGAGAAGGGAAACAGCGAUAAAAAGCUCGACGAAGUUUUAUGAUAAACUUCCGACCUCUUAGAUCUCAAAUCAGGCAAGAGUACCCGCUGAACUUAA
rnacentral:misc_RNA from 1 species